rnacentral:rRNA from 1 species
CUCGGAUCAGGCGGGGNCUACCCGCUGAACUUAAGCAUAUCNAUAAGCGGAGGAAAANGAAACCAACGGGGAUUGCCUCAGUAACGGCGAGUGAANGCGGCAACANNCUCAAAUUUGAAAUCUGGCCUCCCUGCGGAGCCCGAGUUGUAAUUUGAAGAGGACGCNUUCGCGAACGGCGCCGCCCCAAGUUCCUUGGAACCGGACGCUACAGAGGGUGAGAGCCCCGUAUCCGGGUGGCGACCUGCCGCGUGUGAAGCUCCUUCGACGAGUCGAGUUGUUUGGGAAUGCAGCUCUAAUCGGGAGGUAAAUUCCUUCUAAAGCUAAAUACCGGCCGGAGACCGAUAGCGCACAAGUAGAGUGAUCGAAAGAUGAAAAGCACUUUGAAAAGAGAGUUAAAAAGCACGUGAAAUUGUUGAAAGGGAAGCGCUCGCGACCAGACUCGGUAGGGGAGGAUCAGCCGCCGCUACGCGACGGCGCACUCCUCCCCCUCCGGGCCAGCGUCGGUCCGGGCGGUCGGACAAAGGCGGCGGGAACGUGGCUCCCUUCGGGGAGUGUUAUAGCCCGUCGCGGAAUGCGGCCAGCCCGGAUCGAGGACCGCGCUUCGGCUAGGACGCUGGCGUAAUGGUCGUGAGCGGCC